GGAUUAGAGAUGUCAUAACCAUCUAUUGGCAUCGACUAUAACCUUUAG
rnacentral:tRNA from 1 species